GAGGGUGUGGGGUUUUUGGGAUAGGUGGGUGUCGGCGGCGGUGGAGAGGGAGAGAGGAGGCCGAGACCUAAAUCUAAGCGGUGGGUGGCCGCGGGAGUGUAGAGCGGCGGGUAUAGGGGGUUCGGUGGUAGGAGGGUGGGAGAGGCAGAGGGGGAGGGAGGGGAGGAGAGGAGUCUCUCCUCUCCCUCUAGCUGGUUGGUACCGCCGCCGGUACCACCGUCGGUCUAGACCCUACCAGCGUCCGUGGAGAGGGAGGAACGUUUCCGAUGCCCUAAAUGGCCAUACCCUGUCCUCGUGACAAAGGAGGGCAACGAAGACGAGCCGGCACGCACUCCUCUAGGGUACCUGCGACUACAGUUCGAGGCGAUGAGACUGGGGGUAGGUCGUUGAGAUACGUCCCUCUCCCCACUCCGCUACGUCCCUCUUUUUACUUCUUACCCUACGUGGACUCCUCUCUCCCCAACAGUAGAAGCAAGGACGAGCUGGUGCAACGGAUACCUACCACUCUCCUCUUCCACGACGUUCACGAUCCUCUUCCCCAGCCUACGUUGACUUUGGGAACGAUGGUUCGUGGAUGCCCACUUUACCUACACUUGGAAGUCUUUAGUUUACAAAGCACGGCCGCGCCGAGGCCGCGGACGACCUACCACGAGGACCUUGUUCUGCCGUGCCUCCGGGAGGAGAACGUCCUACACGACUGCGCCGCGUGCGUCGCCGUACAAACCCCGUUCGAACUCGCGCUACCGGAACAGAGUUGCUACUGCCGCCACUUGCAACCACGAGGAAGAGCAGGAGAUAGAGGUUCCUGUACGCGGCCAUGUCGAGCCCGUUGGGGCGGGGACUUGCGGCAGGUGGGUAGGCCGCUACAUGUCCAGCAGGAGUGCACACACCUAAGCGGAGAACGACCUGAGUUGUGAACGUUACACCUGUACCACUAGAAGAAACGGGAGGGGGGAGAUGGGGUUUUAGAUCUACUGUAAAUGUAGACAUGUAUGUAUGUAUACAAAAUUAAAACUGACUUUGUUAGACCUACCAAGGACGUAGAUAUCUAUUUGUACUUAUUGGUACGAAACCAAGUCAAACAUACAUAGUUAAACCAAAUUGAAACUGACUUAUAUAUAUACUUAUGUAAAACCAAAGAUCCGGGAACAUUACUACCCGAAUGACAGACUGUCCCAAGUAAGAAGUCAAUAGGAACAAUCAGCACUGGGGAAAUCGAUUAGACAAACCUUGACCACCCACCAUGUAGACGUACAACAAACUAGCUUUCCGCCUUGGCAAUCAUAAUAGUACAAACGAAAGGAACCUUUACUAAGUCGAGAUCCUCGUUUAAUAAUCAAAUGACAAAUAUUAGACAUAGUAAAUAGUUUAACACAACAUUUAAUAGUAAGGGAUCGAGUAAAAUUAACAAAACGUAAGGGACCGAGUAAAAUUAAAACAAGGUCACCACCUCAUAUUGAGACCCGUCGAAUAGUAGGUAUAAGAACGUCGAAAUACAAGGUAGAUUAUACAUAUCUUUAGUUACACAUAAGUAUUGGUCCGCACAGUAAUCGAUCAAAUUUAGGAGUGACAUCCGUUGUAUUGAACGGUCGUGUACCGUCAAACAAGUGAAUUGGUAUGGAAUAUUACCCAGUCGAAAACAAGAUAUGGUCUGCGUCGGUACAUUGGUUUUAUAUAAGGUGUCGUCGUUGUUCAGACAAAGCACGAUGGUUUUCAUCCAAGGAACAAUAUAAAGUCUCUACACGUACGCUUGAACAAGUCAGUCGUUGGUAAAUACAUCCAUGGCCGUUCCUCACGUGAAACACUCUUCACGAUCAAUGCCCUCAUACGAGUACAGUGGUCGUAUGAUUCCCAAAGAGAUGUUGGUUAAUAGAAGACGUGCCUCGGUGUCUCCCGGUUGGACCCCAUAACAAGCGAUGUAGUUGUGAACAUUAUAAAGGGAUAUGGAUGUAAGUAAACAAUAAUUCAAUAUUAGUAGAAGUCACAUCUCAUAUAUUAUAAAAACAUCAAAACCACCAGUCCAAAUAUUGUACCAACAAGCAUGUUUUAACAACAUUGAAGAGUAGUCAUAAAGAUGCAUGUUAAAAGUUUUAGAAAAACAAGAAGGUUGCAUGUAUGUUGACUUUAAAAUAGAACUUUGAACUAUUUUACUGUGGGGAAAACAACCAAGAUUGUUUUAAUGAGUAUAGAUUUUUACAGAUUACAAACAAGACAAAAACCUGUCUAUAUAAUCUACUAUCAACGGUACUUCUCACAGCUAACGUUCUUUAACUUAUUCUUUAAAAAUAUAUGCAACAACUUCAUUUAACCUAAAACUACCAGGAUUGGAACGAUACACAACAUAAAACAGUUAAGUACAACAUUUAUUAGUAAAGUCCCUCCAAAACAUUUGACGAUACAACAUACAUGGCUACCUACCGACACAUUUAUGAUGUCCCGUAAAACUUCAUAAAAAAGAAGUCG
rnacentral:rRNA from 1 species